GACGAACGCUGGCGGCGUGCUUAACACAUGCAAGUCGAACGGAAAGGCCCCUUUGGGGGUACUCGAGUGGCGAACGGGUGAGUAACACGUGAGUAACCUGCCCUUGACUUCGGGAUAACUUCAGGAAACUGGGGCUAAUACCGGAUAGGAAUCCUUGCUGCAUGGUGGGGGUUGGAAAGCUUCGGCGGGUUUGGAUGGACUCGGGGCUUAUCCGCUUGUUGGGGGGGUAGUGGCUUACCAAGGCUUUGGCGGGUAGCCGGCCUGAGAGGGGGGACAGCCACCAUGGGACUGAGGGACGGACCAGUGUGCAACGGGACGCAAUAGAGGGGAAUAUUGCAGAACGGGGCGGAGGCAGAUGUAACGACGGCCGGGUUGGGAAGACCGGCUUCGGGGUGGAAAACGCCUUCCGGCGGGGAGAAAGAUGGAGUGACGGUACCUGAAGAAAAAGCAACGGCUAACUACGUG
rnacentral:rRNA from 1 species